rnacentral:rRNA from 1 species
AUUGAACGCUGGCGGCAGGCCUAACACAUGCAAGUCGAGCGAGCGGCGGACGGGUGAGUAAUGUAUGGGGCUCUGCCCGAUGGAGGGGGAUAACUACUGGAAACGGUGGAUAAUACCGCAUACUGUCGGAUGAACCCAUAUGGGAUUAGCUAGUAGGUGGGGUAAAGGCUCACCUAGGCGACGAUCUCUAGCUGGUAUGAGAGGCUGAUUAGCCACACUGUGACUGAGACACGGCCCAGACUCCUACGGGAGGUAGCAGUGGGGAAUAUGUCACAAUGGGCGCAAGCCUGAUGCAGCCAUGCCGCGUGUAGGAAGAAGGCUUUAGGGUUGUAAAGUACUUUCAGCGGGGAGGCGUUACCCGCAGAAGAAGCACCGGCUAACUCCGUGCCAGCAGCCGCGGUAAUUC